AUAUUUUCUUAAGCGCCAGGACUAUUUUCUGAACGGAAUAGAAAGUAGUUGACGAGGGGGAAGGUUAUCGAAGUAUUCGGCGGAUACCUUCCGAUUGCUGCAUCUCAAUCGUAUGCUUUUUCUCCAAAACAAUGAGGCAACUUAUUGGACAAAGAGACGAAGCAAGAUGCCU
rnacentral:ncRNA from 2 species